CAUGGCAUAGUGGUUUAUUUGAGAAAAGAUAUACCAGCCAAGUUAAUAGAGGCAGAUAUUCACGGAAGAUAUAUUGCUAUUGAACUUACAAUAGAAACAAAAAAGACCCUUUUGUUUGGUAUAUAUGCACCCAAUCAGCAACAAGAAAAAUUUUAUAGAAUGUUGUAUGAUAAGUUGAUUCUAUGGGAUUAUAAAUCGUGUAUUAUAUUGGGAGAUUGGAAUGGAGUAAUAGAUACACGAAAGGACAAGAGAAUUUUUUCUAAGAAGAUACCUGCACAUGCAAAGCUGCCUAAAUCCUUUUUUGACAUGAUAGAAGAUUUUGAGUUGAGAGAUGUAUGGAGACUGCGGAAUUUGGAGGAAAGAGACUAUACUUUUUUCUCUGAUAGGCAUCAAUCCUUCUCACGUAUUGAUUUUAUUUUAAUUUCUAAUGAUUUGCUUUUUAGGGUGAAGAAAACUAAGAUAUUUCCAAGAUGUUUGUCUGAUCAUAGUCCUGUUUGGAUGGAAUUGCAAUAUGGAAAAGAAGGUUUUCGCCCCUCCCCAACAACGUGCCUGUAGAGUGGGGCUUCUCCCACUUGGCUGAGGACGUCUUAGCUGGAUCGAUUGUGGGGAGGAGCAGCAGCAGCAGUUCUGAGG